rfam:Ovis aries breed Texel chromosome 14, whole genome shotgun sequence.
UCCCUUAUGUCUCAGCGGGUACAAAGAAUCCACCUGCAAUGUGGGAGACCUAGGUUCGAUCCCUUGGUUGGGAA